rnacentral:rRNA from 1 species
CUACGGGUCGCACCAGUGGGGAAUAUUGCACAAUGGGCGCAAGCCUGAUGCAGCCAUGCCGCGUGUAUGAAGAAGGCCUUCGGGUUGUAAAGUACUUUCAGCGGGGAGGAAGGGAGUAAAGUUAAUACCUUUGCUCAUUGACGUUACCCGCAGAAGAAGCACCGGCUGAACUCCGUGCCAGCAGCCGCGGUAAUACGGAGGGUGCAAGCGUUAAUCGGAAUUACUGGGCGUAAAGCGCACGCAGGCGGUUUGUUAAGUCAGAUGUGAAAUCCCCGGGCUCAACCUGGGAACUGCAUCUGAUACUGGCAAGCGUGAGUCUCGUAGAGGGGGGUAGAAUUCCAGGUGUAGCGGUGAAAUGCGUAGAGAUCUGGAGGAAUACCGGUGGCGAAGGCGGCCCCCUGGACGAAGACUGACGCUCAGGUGCGAAAGCGUGGGGAGCAAACAGGAUUAGAUACCCGGGUAGUC